rnacentral:antisense_RNA from 1 species
GUGGGAGCUGGCUUGCCUGCGAUGGCGCAGAGCCAGUCGAUAUUGGCUUUGCUGACCCACCGCAAUCGCAGGCAAGCCAGCUCCCAC